GACGAACGCUGGCGGCGUGCCUAAUACAUGCCAGUAGAACGCACAGUUUAUACCGUAGCUUGCUACACCAUAGACUGUGAGUUGCGAACGGGUGAGUAACGCGUAGGUAACCUGCCUGGUAGCGGGGGAUAACUAUUGGAAACGAUAGCUAAUACCGCAUAAUAUUAAUUAUUGCAUGGUAAUUUAUUGAAAGGUGUAAUUGCAACACUACCAGAGGGACCUGCGUUGUUUUAGCUAGUAGGGGAGGUAACGGCUCACCUAGGCGACGCAGCGUAGCCGACCUGAAAGGGGGCGCCGCCAAGCUGGGACGGGGACACGGCCCAGACUCCUACGGGAGGCAGCAGGAGGGAAUCUUUGGGGAUGGACGAAAGUCUGACCGAGCAACGCCGCGUGAGUGAAGAAGGGUGUCGGGUCGUGUAGCUCGGUUGUAAGUGAAGAACGGGUGUGAGAGUGGAAAGUUCACACUGUGACGGUAUCGGAACAGAAAGCGACGGCUAACUACGUG
rnacentral:rRNA from 1 species